rnacentral:ncRNA from 2 species
GGCAAACGCUAGGGGUCCUGCACAUCGCUGAAAUAUCGGCGCUGCGCGGGUGAGAAAUACCCUCCGAACCUGAUCUGGAUAAUGCCAGCGAAGGGAAGCUUUAGGUCGCGCCG